ensembl:lncRNA
UACGUAUGUUUGCCAAACACCAUUAAACCUCAGAAGAAGAAGUUUGGUUUCACCGUGUUCUCUGUUGUUUUGUCGUGAUGCUAGUUUAAUACAAUCUGUUAGAAAUGUAGUUUCUGUAAAUGGAAAAAUACAGUUUUUGAAUCAGGUCAGCCUGUAAUAUUCUGAUCCUCAUAGUCGUGACUAAGUUUGAAGCAAGCAGGAAUAUCUGCAGAAGUAUCAUCUGAACUGAAAUCUGCUGCUGUGAAGAUGGUGUUUGUUAAAGAAGAGAACAUGAGUGAACCAGAAACCUGCAGAAUAAAACAAGAGGAACCAGAAACCUGGAGAAUAAAACACGAGGAGUCAGAAACCUGCAGAAUAAAACAAGAGGAACCAGAAACCCGGAGAAUAAAACACGAGGAACCAGAAACCCGGAGAAUAAAACACGAGGAACCAGAAACCCGGAGAAUAAAACACGAGGAACCAGAAACCUGGAUAAUAAAACACGAGGAACCAGAAACCUUGCUAAUAAAACACGAGAAACCAGAAACCUGGAUAAUAAAACACGAGGAACCAGAAACCCGGAGAAUAAAACACGAGCAAAAAGGAGGUUCUCCAUGUACUGAAAUACCAACAAACAUGGUACUCUCUAAAGAUCAGUCAUGA